UACGGAGGAUCCAAGCGUUAUCCGGAUUUAUUGGGCGUAAAGGGAACGCAGGCGGUCUUUUAAGUCUGAUGUGAAAGCCUUCGGCUUAACCGGAGUAGUGCAUUGGAAACUGGGAGACUUGAGUGCAGAAGAGGAGAGUGGAACUCCACGUGUAGCGGUGAAAUGCGUAGAUAUAUGGAAGAACACCAGUGGCGAAAGCGGCUCUCUGGUCUGUAACUGACGCUGAGGUUCGAAAGCGUGGGUAGCAAACAGG
rnacentral:rRNA from 1 species